UACGAAGGGGGCUAGCGUUGCUCGGAAUUACUGGGCGUAAAGGGAGCGUAGGCGGGUUAUCAAGUUGGGGGUGAAAGCCCGGGGCUCAACCUCGGAAUUGCCUUCAAAACUGAUAACCUGGAGUAUGGAAGAGGUAAGUGGAACUCCGGAGUGUAGAGGUGAAAUUCGUAGAUAUUCGGAAGAACACCGGUGGCGAAGGCGGCGAUCUGGCCCAACACUGACACUGAGACCCGAAAGCGUGGGGAUCAAACAGG
rnacentral:rRNA from 1 species